CACCAGACUCCUACGGGAGGCAGCAGUGGGGAAUAUUGCACAAUGGGGGGAACCCUGAUGCAGCGACGCCGCGUGGGUGAAGGAGUACUUCGGUACGUAAAGCCCUAUCAGCAGGAAAGAAAAUGACGGUACCUGACUAAGAAGCCCCGGCUAACUACGUGCCAGCAGCCGCGGUAAUACGUAGGGGGCAAGCGUUAUCCGGAUUUACUGGGUGUAAAGGGGGAGCAGACGGCAGCGCAAGCCAGGAGUGAAAGCCCGGGGCCCAACCCCGGGACUGCGCUUGGAACUGCGCGGCUGGAGUGCAGGAGGGGCAGGCGGAAUUCCUGGUGUAGCGGUGAAAUGCGUAGAUAUCAGGGGGAACACCGGUGGCGAAGGCGGCCUGCUGGACUGUAACUGACGUUGAGGCUCGAAAGCGUGGGGAGCAAACAGGAUUAGAUACCCCAGUAUG
rnacentral:rRNA from 1 species